rnacentral:rRNA from 1 species
AGCGAACAGGGAAGAGCCCAGCACCGAAUCCCGCGGCCGGAAACGGACGCCGGGAAAUGUGGUGUUAGGGAGGAUCCGCCAUCCCGAGAUCGCACGGCGAGCCCAAGUCCUUCUUGAACGGGGCCACUUACCCAGAGAGGGUGCCAGGCCCGUAGAGGCGGCCGUCGGUAGCGGGAGGAUCUCUCCUCAGAGUCGGGUUGCUUGAGAGUGCAGCCCUAA